AGGAACAAGAACAGCAAAGGGCAGAGCAGACCUGCGCCAGGGGCGCACAACGGCCGUGUCCACCUCCCGGCCCCAAGAUGGUGCUUCCCACAGGCAGCCACGCGUAGCAGCCAGAGACAGCUCCAGACAUGUGGCUCUUCUUCGAGAUCACUGGAUUGCUGACGGCAGCCCUCUCAGGUCAUCCAUCUCCAGCCCCACCUGACCAGCUCAACACCAGCAGUGCAGAGAGUGAGCUCUGGGAGCCAGUCGCUGGCAGCCAGGGUCCUCUGCUCAGAUUCCCGGAGUUUGCACAAUCUGUCCACUCCCGAAGUCCCUGCAAGUGUUCAGACAGUCACUAUAGAAUCUUCUGUGACAGUGAAAAUAGAGAACAAGGAAUCUCGGGAGCUAAUGCUCCUCAUCCCCUCCAUCGUUCUGGGAAUUCUCCUCCUUGGCUCCCUCAUCUUCAUAGCCUUCAUCCUCUUGAGAAUUAAAGGAAAAUAUGCCCUCCCCGUAAUGGUGAACCACCAGCACCUACCCACCACCAUCCCGGCAGGGAGCAAUAGCUAUCAACCGGUCCCCAUCACCAUCCCCAAAG
rnacentral:sRNA from 1 species